rnacentral:rRNA from 1 species
GGGCCCGCACAAGCGGUGGAGCAUGUGGUUUAAUUCGAUGAUACGCGAGGAACCUUACCAGGGCUUAAAUGCAGAAUGACAGAUUGGGAAACCAGUCCUUCUUCGGACAUUUUUGCAAGGUGCUGCAUGGUUGUCGUCAGCUCGUGCCGUGAGGUGUCAGGUUAAGUCCUAUAACGAGCGCAACCCCCUAUCAUUAGUUGCCAGCGGGUAAUGCCGGGAACUCUAAUGAGACUGCCAGCGCAAGCUGCGAGGAAGGUGGGAUGACGUCAAAUCAUCACGGCCCUUACGUCCUGGGCUACACACGUGCUACAAUGGUUGGGACAAUGGGCAGCCACUACGCGAGUAGGAGCUAAUCCUCAAACCCCAAUCUC